rnacentral:rRNA from 1 species
GACGUAGGGUGCAAGCGUUGUCCGGAUUUAUUGGGCGUAAAGAGUUCGUAGGCGGUUGCCUAAGUCUGAUGUUAAAGCCCGGAGCUCAACUCCGGUAUGGCAUUGGAAACUGGGCGGCUUGAGUAUGAUAGAGGUUACGGGAAUUCCUGGUGUAGCGGUGAAAUGCGUAGAUAUCAGGAGGAACACCGGUGGCGAAAGCGCGUAACUGGGCCGAUACUGACGCUGAGGAGCGAAAGCGUGGGGAGCGAACAGG